UAUUCACAUGAGUAAAAAUAUAUGUUCACAAUUUAAUAGUUACUGAAUCUGUUAACACUAUUUAUCUGCAUCACAAUUAUUUUAACUAGCUACUAAACUUUUCAGUUUUAACAAACAAAUGAAUCAUUGUUAAAGGAGGUACCCCUAUCAGAAAUUUUUACCACACACUGUAAGUUGGUCUGCUACUAAAGCAUACAUUUGGUUAGUGAUUCAUAAUUGUGUUUUGUGAAUAGGCAAUUGGAACUAUGAAAGUGACAUUGCUUUUCUCACCUUCCUCAGGAUUUUUGUCAUUCUGGUUAGCGUCCUUGAGCUCUUGGCGAUACCAUCCUCCAUCAUGUCAACUUGCCUCAAUUGUAGGCCCUGUGCAAAUCUGACAUUUUUUAUAAAAGAAUUUGCAAAUGUCAUAUUACUUGGAAUGUACCUCAUGUUUUUAUAAUGUGAUUUAUCUUUGUCUAAGCCUCAGUUGAUUAUUAUUGAAUAAUUAAUUUAAGUUAUUGACCUACCGAUAAAUGAAUGUUAACCAAUCUGUAAGGGUAACCCGAGAAUGGCUAAAUAUUGAGUCCUUCCGGAUAGAGCAGGUGGAAGACUGAUUGUGCUUUCUCUUUCUUCGACAAAUCCUGUAAGGAAAACCAAACAAUACUUCAAAUAGAUCUGAUUCUUAUUCAGCGUUCACCAAACUACCGGGCUGAAAAGCACCCCACUAAAUGAUCUCCCACAUACAACUGGGACAGUCAAUAGGCUUAAGUCAAUACAAAGUUCACAUGCAAUACCAUCUCCAGUUUUGAGGUCCCAAACAUAGCCCCUUUUGGGGCCCCUCCACUGACCCAAAAAUAUUUGUUGAAAGAAUGACAUUUAGUUUGUAUAAAAGAAAAGUAAGAAAGACAUUCUGUAAUAAUAAUGUAAUAAAAUAUUUACAUUCAUUGUAAGCAGUGUGCGAGUUGUAUACAGUAUACAAACUAUAAUAAAACAUGUUAUUCAUCCAGGGCCAGUCUUGGAUGUCUGGCGCACACAGGUCCUGCAUGCCUACACGCUGUGAGACCAAAGGUUCUUGAACACUGCCCCAACACUGACAAAUAUCUUUCCUACAUAGUUGGCUGAUGUAUUUAAAAUGUUGGCAUAAAAUGAGAUAUCUGCACACUGCACAACAUUGACCAACAUGACAGUAGGCUAUUGUAAUGCUAGCUAUCCACAAAAACAACCUUUUGAUCUAUGUUAGGGCAUUGUGCAUGCACCAAAAACUGCAACCUAAAUAAAUGUAGCUACAUUUCAAGUAAUAUUUUUUCUUUCACCAAUUGCACUAAGCUUAUCAGUGCAAAUUGCAACAUGAGGCUUGACUACGUUUUGUUUUUAUGAGCUACAUUAAAAUAACUUACCAUAUAUAUCCAUCUCUGCAUCUAUGCUUGACCAUUUUCUGCUUGUGGUGACAGAUAGGACAUCGCAUAGACUUUUUCAGCAGUCCUUUCUUCUGGAGGUAUUUUAUAAUCUUUUUUUUAUUUCUUCUGGCGUGUUUUGCUGACAAUACAUGAAGCAGUGCAUGGGGCAUGACGAAUUCAAUGGCAUUUGGAUUUAAGCGGGAGGUUUAAAAUCUUAUCGUGUAUUUUGCAGUUACAAGUUGAAAAUUGUAAAAAAUGUCGUAAAGAAAUCAAAGUAAAUUGCUACACCUACGUCAGAAGCAGGUAUUCUUCAGUGAGUGAAUUCAGGUAAAUAGCUAUAAGUAAGUAUAAUUAUAAGUAUGAAUAUUUUAAUCUUGUCAUUGUAUAAUAUUUUUUAUCCAGUCAUUUAGUGUUUCUUCAAAUGCACCGAUGUUUGUGAAUGUCUCUCCCUACCUGUCGAAAUUACUUAGCUAGCUACUAGCUAACAUACUGGCUAGCUAAAGUAGCCAAGCUAGCUAGCUACAUAGUAAAGAUAGAUUUCCUCACUUUGUCCCGACAUCUCCCUUUGAGUUAACUUAAAUUCAUUUAGCGAUGGAAAUGACAACUGUCUGCUGUUCUACAAAGCUAUCUAUCUAGCUAGCUAGUAAGAAAAGCGAGCUAACUAUGUCGGGCUUGCCAGCUUAGCUGGAGCUAGCUACCCGGCUAGCUAGCUAGCUAACGUUUUUGUUCAACUUCUGGCCAAAAUUUUAUUAGUCAUGUUUAACAAAGUUGCCACGUUUAGUCUAUCCACCUAGCUAAAUACACCUUGAUCUUAGCUAUGUUUCUGUAGAAGCACAUCGAUUGUCAAGGUUAAGAUGGCCCAAUACAAUGUUAUAUGUCAGUGCAGUAACUUUGCUUAGGUAUUUAGUUAACAUUAGCUAACUUAGUAGUCUCAGCUGUUAAAUUGACCAAUUUAACUAUCUAGGCAAAUCUAUUUGCAAAGUUGUUUUAGCUAACAUUUUGGUUACACCUCAUUUUAAGGGGCCUUUUUAAAGUGCAGUUACAUAAUUACUUACAUUGCAAAAUGUGUUUCAGUGCAAAUAUGCACACACAUUUUGUGUGGCUUGUUUGUAUGUACGUAUAAAGCAUGUGUGAGCUAAAGUCAUGUUUUUGUUUGUCUAUAGAAUGCCACGUACUACGCGUUCUAAAAAAGUGCUUGUUAGCACAGUGGGGGAUGAUGGCAUGGCAUAAAAAAAUGUGCCGGAUGAGUUGACUGAAGUGGUGGAUGUUGAAGUCCAGCAACGAGAGGGCCAGGAACCACCUGUGGUUACUGUGAUGGAGGAUGUAGACACUGAAUCCUUUGAUUCAGAUGCUGCAUCAAGUUACACCAACAAUGAAAACAUGAAAAUGAAGAUGCUCAAAAUGAAAAUAAAGGCAUUGGAGGAAGAGAGGGACUUCCUCCGAACAACUAUUACCCAGCUGACUGGACAAAGAACUUCUUCAGGACCAAGUUCUAGCUCAUCUGUGGGUGACAACAUUGCCAAGCUUGAGGAUCAGUGGGAUGACAGCUCUGAUUCUUCGAGCUCUGAUAGCUCUUCAUCCACAGACAGCGAAAUAGAAAAGAAAAACAAGCAGAAGAAAGAACAAAAACAAGAAGGAGAAAAAGGAAACUAAAAAAGGGAGAGGUAUAUUUAGAUUAUGCAUUUUUUAAGUUAAAGCGCUGUAUUAAAGCAUUUUGUUGUGGUGAAGUUGCUUCUUAAAGGAUAUGUUUUCUACUUUUUAACCUUAUGUACCGAAAACCUAGUGUGAUCCUAGUAUGUAGAAAUGUGUCUUGUAAUCUUAGGGCUGCAAUCGAUGUGAACGGGCCAACUUAUACAGCAUUUGAAAAUAUGACACAUUCUGUGGUGUAUUGAUGUAGGUCUCAAUAUGUUCCUUGGAAUUUUUGGGGCCAAACGAUCAUAAUAUCAAUAGUUUUCACGGUUAAUUCUAAUGUACUACCUGCUGCCACGAGGAUGAAUCUCAGAGGCUUUAUUAAAAAAAAGAUAAGGAGACAAAGGAGCUGUGUAUAUAUAUACAUAAAACAUAUGGACCUAUUCAGUGUAAAUUUUUUGGGGCUAAUAAUUCCACAUCUACAGUGCAGUGCGUCUCGGAUAACAGCUGUUUUACUCCAGGCUUUGUUUACAUCUACGCGUACUCCACCUCUAUGAUUUUUAUGGGUAGGCCAAUUUGCCAAGUCUGAAUUGUGUGCCAAAUCCUUCCAGAGAAAGUUUAGAGUCCACAGUUAUAUCGUCCAACCACUUCUCCAUAAGCAUGAUGUUAGCAUCUUGUAUGUCCAUAUCAGUACACCUUUGCAUUCCUGUUUUGUAAAACUGAAUUUAUCAUAUAUCUUCAAACUCUGUAGAGGUUGCUGCAUUCACUUUCUUUGUCUCUCUGUUGUAGAGUGCAAGAAAAUGUAAAAAUACAUCUAAACUGAAAUACUUGAAAAUAAUGUCUUUACAUACUAGGAGCAUGCUAGAUAAUCAGUAAAUAAGCCCCAGGGAUAAUAAGCUCCAAACAGAUUUUUUGAAAACUACUGCUUACUCCCAUUGAUAUGUACAUGGGAUAGCAUAGCAUUGCUAUCACCCCGUUAUUCUUAUGCAAAACACCUGACCACCCCAGAAUAACAUCCUGACCACACCAGUGUUUGUCAACAGCAAAGACCCCAGAAGAUAUCCUCAGAAUAUACAAGAUGGUCCUGGCAGCAUACAAAAGGAAGGGAAGUAUGGCUGCUGCAUUCCAAACCGUGGGUGUUGACAGAAACACCGUGGCCAUGAGUGCACCACUAGCAGAGAUAAUGAUUGCGGCACCAGAGUUCUUCAAAAAACAGCCAGCUUUUGAAUGUGGUAAUGAUACACUGAACCAAUAUGUGAGAAGGAUCACCAAAAAUGCAACAGCUGAGGUGAUCAAAGAAAAGAAGAAACAAAAUGAACUGCUCCCAAUCACUUAUACAUUUAAGUGACCACGAAGUAUGCAAAUGCUUGCACUCACACACUCUGAGACAUGCUUUAAAUCAGAUAAACAUGUUAAGAUACAUUCUGUUCUGGCUGUUUGUUGUCUUGCUGUCCAUCUGAGUUCGUAUACAAUCUAUCUUGCCCACAUACAUUGGAUUUUACACACCUGAAACAUGUUUUUAAUUUUGGGAAUAUAAAUUGAAUAUAGAUUCAAAUUUUUUCUGUACAUUGUUUUCUGUAUAUUAGUUUGUAAAUAUCCUAAGAGACUAGUUUCAUAUUUUUUAUGUAAUUAAAUGUAUUUGUGGUUCAGUGGUAUAGGUCUUUACAUAAUUGUAAAAAUCCAUGAAAGACGUUCUUCAGAGGUAAAUGAAGAGGCCUCACUUGUGGAAUAACCCCCAUACGUGUGAUAAUGUACCACAAUUACAUGUAAUUACGUGGUAGUUCCUGUGUAACUAUAGUGCUGUUACUACAUAUAAUGCCACAUUGUUCAAGGCAACAGAUAUACACAUGGUGUACAGUGUAAGCUUUUUUUUAACGUAAUUUUUCCUUUUAAUACUCUUUAGAUUUUGGGUUUGUGUGGUCUCUAGAAACGUAGGUUGCGAUGGGCGAUUAGCAGAAAUAAUAAUGUUGUGGAAAUGGAAUGGUAGUAAUUAUAUUCUUCUGCCUCAUGUUUAAGAAUGAAAACAAGUCUAUAGUGUAGUUUAAGACGUUUGAUAUUUAACCUCUUUUGUAAUUGUUUUUCGUGCAAAAUAAAAACAACGCACCAUGUUUACACCUGACUUCAGAGUAUUCUUGAAUAGUACAUUUGUCCUACAUGAUUAAUUGUAGAUGUUACUACAUUGAAGUGCUAGACCAUGUGUACCAAAUAUAUAUUGAAAAAUACUUUUCUUUGCAGGAACUACUUUUCUUUG